rnacentral:lncRNA from 1 species
UGGGGACCUUCUCAUAAGACAGUGAAUUUAAAAUACCAAUAUACUUGAUAGGCACAAUUUGCUAUGGAUCACCCACACACUUCCUCAACAUAGAAACAUUGAACACCGGGUGAAUGAAGCUCAAAAUAGAAGGCAACUCUAACUCAUAUGCAAUAUUUCCAACCCUUUUCAAAACCAAAUAAGGACCAGCGUACCGGGUAAUAAUCUUUCCCUUCCUCCCAAAC